AUACGUAGGGGGCAAGCGUUAUCCGGAAUUAUUGGGCGUAAAGAGUGCGUAGGUGGUUUUGUAAGCGCGGGGUGAAAGGCAAUAGCUCAACUAUUGUAAGCCCUGCGAACUGUGAGACUUGAGUGCAGGAGAGGAAAGCGGAAUUCCUAGUGUAGCGGUGAAAUGCGUAGAUAUUAGGAGGAACACCAGUGGCGAAGGCGGCUUUCUGGACUGUAACUGACACUGAGGCACGAAAGCGUGGGGAGCAAACAGGAUUAGAUACCCUGGUAGUCCACGCCGUAAACGAUGAGCACUAGGUGUCGGGGCCGCAAGGUUUCGGUGCCGCAGUUAACGCAUUAAGUGCUCCGCCUGGGGAGUACGCACGCAAGUGUGAA
rnacentral:rRNA from 1 species